ACCCGUGCUCUUUCAAUGCCAGGUUGGGGGGAACCUCCCUUGUAGCUAGUAGUACAGGCCCCUAAGGGAAUCUGAGGAGGCUUGAUGGAGAAGUCUGGAGGUAAGGUGAUCUGACUGCCCUUCCCCCAUCACACAGCCUUUUCAAUCUUCUGUCCCACAUUUCGUUGCAAGAUUAACACAUGGCAAAGGAGCAUUAAGGAGCCAUGUGGCAGCUCAGGAGUGGAAUUGAGACCCGCUGGUGCUGGCUUCAGUUUUCAGCACUGUUGGAUGUGGUCACUGCCCUGGUCAGCAGAACAAACGCCGGGGCUUCCCGGGGUGAUAGCUCCUAGGGGAUUGGCGCAGGGCCCGUUGGAGGAGGUGGGUGGCUCCUGGAGCGUCUCAGUGUCCUCUCCUUUCCUUCCUUCUUCACGCAGAGACGGCCUCCCGCUCCUUCCUGUCGAGUGGCAUUAGUGUUGCUCGGUGCAGCGAAGAGGGGAUGCCAGUCCGCCCAGUGUCUCUGUAAGCCAAGCUGAGCUCCGAGGGGACCUUUGAAACCAGAGCAGCUGACCAGUACUCUUCUUUCAGGCUUGCUGGGGUGGCCUCAGGCCUACGGGGCAGCGAGGUGCCGUCCCAGCCCUGGGUGGUACUCCUGUCCUGCUGGUGUGUGGUGACACCUCUCUGAACUAAAGCAGCUUGUGAACUUGAGAGCUAGUGUGUCCCAAGAGGAAGCCAGCCUCCAGCUUUUUUUUUUUUUUUUCCACCCUCAGCGCAGCUGGGGCUUCUUGGCACUCCCGGGCGGAAUGUCACUACCUGUUUCCAGUGAAACUCAGCCAGGGAGGCGGGCUGCAGGGAGGGCAUGACAGGAGCAGGCUAGAGCUGUGUCUGGAGAGUUGACAACCUCGUGUGGAAUCUUUAAAGAGGCACCACCUUCGGGGUCAUCGCCCCGGUGAGGUGUUCAAAGGACAAAGGAGAUUAUGCCUUCUUGGACCUGAUAGAAAGAAGCCACUGAUGUAAACAGCUCACGUGUUCAUUUAUGUAAUCCAAGCCGAAUGGCAGUAUCCGAGGGCUGGGAUGGGAAUCCUUAACCCCGCCCCUUAUAAAAGGCUGCUCGGGCCACCCUGUCCCUCCCAGCCUCACUUCCCACACGAGAAGGCUUGGUGCUGAGGAGACGGCUGUCUCCGCCUGAUCUGACAUACAUUUUCAUUGGACUCCUCUUUAGAUUCUGCACGCGAUGAUGAAUUGCUUCCAGCAGAGCUCUCGGUGUUUUCUCUUGCAGGGCACCAAUGCCUCUGCUCUGGAAAAAGACAUCGGCCCAGAGCAGUUUCCCGUCAAUGAGCACUACUUCGGAUUGGUCAAUUUCGGGAACACGUGCUACUGUAACUCUGUGCUUCAGGCCUUGUACUUCUGCCGGCCUUUCCGUGAGAAUGUGCUGGCAUACAAGGCCCAGCAAAAAAAGAAGGAAAACUUGUUGACGUGCCUGGCAGACCUUUUCCACAGCAUUGCCACGCAGAAGAAGAAGGUUGGCGUGAUCCCACCAAAGAAGUUCAUUUCAAGGCUGAGAAAAGAGAAUGAUCUCUUUGAUAACUACAUGCAGCAGGAUGCUCACGAAUUUUUAAACUAUUUGCUAAACACUAUUGCGGACAUCCUGCAGGAAGAGAAGAAACAGGAGAAACAAAAUGGGAAAUUAAAAAAUGGCAACAUGAACGAACCUGCAGAGAACAACAAACCAGAACUCACCUGGGUCCAUGAGAUUUUUCAGGGAACGCUCACCAAUGAAACUCGAUGCUUGAACUGUGAAACUGUUAGUAGCAAAGAUGAAGAUUUUCUUGAUCUUUCUGUCGAUGUGGAGCAGAAUACAUCCAUUACCCACUGCCUAAGAGACUUCAGCAACACAGAAACACUGUGUAGUGAACAGAAAUAUUAUUGUGAAACGUGCUGCAGCAAACAGGAGGCCCAGAAAAGGAUGCGAGUGAAAAAGCUGCCCAUGAUUUUGGCCCUGCACCUGAAGCGGUUCAAGUACAUGGAGCAGCUGCACAGGUACACCAAGCUCUCCUACCGCGUGGUCUUCCCGCUGGAGCUGCGGCUCUUCAACACCUCCAGCGACGCUGUGAACCUGGACCGCAUGUAUGACCUGGUGGCCGUGGUGGUGCACUGUGGCAGUGGUCCUAAUCGUGGGCAUUAUAUCACUAUUGUGAAAAGUCACGGCUUCUGGCUUUUGUUUGAUGACGACAUCGUAGAGAAAAUUGAUGCCCAAGCUAUUGAAGAAUUCUAUGGCCUGACGUCAGAUAUAUCAAAAAAUUCAGAAUCUGGAUAUAUUUUAUUCUAUCAGUCACGAGAAUAACUUAAAGGACCGUGGGACUAACUCAAGAGGGGGAGUGUUCAAGCACUGUUACUGGGUUCUCUGCGGACUUGCUUCUCCCCGUGGACCACCAAUGUAUUACUCCGAGUCUCAAUGAUCUGGCUGUGUUAAUCUCUCUCUCUCUCUCUCUCUCUCUCUCUCUCUCUCUCUCUCUCUGUUUUUUUUCUACAUGCAGCACUAUUCGUGGUCUUAUUUUAGUCUGAGGUAGAAGUUAACUGCAAUCAGAUUGUAGUAAGAUUUAUAUGAAUAACAGUUGCUAAUUUUAGGGUCGGGUAAACAUUAUGCCACUGGCUGUCUCUGGCUGGAUUAGAAUGACAUGUCCUAGAAUGUCUGCAGUCCGUGUGGAGUCUUUGCUGAGCUUCCUAAGUGGUUUCCAGGGACUCCUUUCAAUGCAUUCCUUUACCGGGUCCCUGGAAACGUUGCUACCCAUGUUUAGCUUCUCUGCCUCGAAGGACAGAAUUGGGUAGAUGUUCACCUUUAGGGCUGCAACUAUAGCUUUAAGUGUGUGCAGGUGAAAUUGUUUAAAAGUGAGUAACCUCAGAUACUAAAACCAUCCUCCAGGUGGGACAGGGUGAAGAGCUGUUCAAGGUGCCAGUGUGUGCCCAGGCUGUGCUCACCUCGAGCCAGAAUUCCCCUGGGGCAAAGAGGGUGGGGAGCUCAGAGCAGGCAAAGCCAGGAGGAGGAAGCUUUCACGGGGAGAGAAAAGUUACUUAUCUUUCUACCAAAACCACGUUCAGGAAAAUAACUCUCUGCUGUGUGUUCUUAGUGCCACUUCCUUCCGCAAGGUCCCGUGCGUCUCUCUCUCCUCUAUCUGGCACUGCUAAGCAUCCAGGGCACCUUUCCAGGCCUGGUGCUGGCCUUUCGCAGUCCGUGGUCACAGGGCUGGGACCCCGGUGGCUGCCUCCAGCGCAGCUCUCCUGAGCAGUCAGACCAGCAUCAUUCUGUGCCCGGGAGAACGAGGGCACUGCCCCGUUAGGACCAGCUGCGCGCUGGGCCGCUGUUCACUUUGAGGCAUCUCAGCCUGCUCGCUGAGGCGGCGGCAGCCCAGGCCAACGUGGCACCUUCCCUGGAGGGAAGACUGGAGUUAACUGGCGUGAAGUGAUCACUUACCGGGAAGGUGAGUUUUUAUUCUGUUAUUAAGGAGAGAUACUUUCCAAUUGAAGGUGAUUGCUGUAGGGAACUGUUUGUACUAUAUAUAACCCAUAUAUUUGACUGCAGGUUGCAAAGCUUAAGAAAAUGAUGGUUGAUAUCUAAUAUAUUUGGAACUGAUUCAUAAGAAAAACUAUUAAAAUUAUCUUUGAAAUGACUCUUGAAGCUAAUUUAUUAGAAAAAAAAUGUUUCAUUUAGAAGCCUGUGUAAGUAAUAUCUAAAUGCAAAGUCAUAGAUUCAGGAUGCCUUUUUUUUUUAUAAAGAGUUUUUUGUUUUUUUCCAGUGACUUAACUGAAGUAAUUCCUUUUACUAGAAAGUGUCAGUUAAAAUUCAGUUUUCAUGGAUAGAUUUUUGGAAUAAAAAAAACAAGAAUGGGGGAUGAUGCAAAGACAUGGAAAUGGUCGUGUGAUGCAGGAAAAGAUUGGGAAAAUGCACUUAUCCUCCAGCACUCCGUCGGGUUUUUAAACUUUAGAGCUAUCGGGUAAUUUCUCCCUUCUCUUCAAUUAAUGAAACAGACACUAGGCAGCUACUUCCCCCCGGGUCAUUUCACGUUCUGUAAAGACAGCAGCAUGCACACACUUUUAUUUUUCAUCCCUCAUUCAUCCCCCAGAGCAGAGAUUGGUGUGGGAAACGCCGGACCAUUCGGAGGCCAAGGAUAGCACAAGGCUCAGCAGUGCCCCUGGCGUGGCCAGGGUUUUUACGAGUCGUUUUCGGGAGGAAGGCCUGCUGUAUUUUUUUUUCAACUGCUGGGUGUUUUAAAAUGAGUUACCAUGUUUUACACUUGACACGAGAAGAAAUACUUGCUUUAUUGGCUACUUACUAGUUUAGCAUCUAGAUUAUGGUGCAGUAUGCCGAAAAGGUAAAUUCUGGUAAAAUGCUGACAUUAGUCCUGGAUGUCGAUGCGUUUUCCAUUCUGAGGCUGCACCAAGUGGCCUGGUCUGAGGCAGCCAAGGAACAACACAAGAGGGUGCUGGUCGGAAUAGGAAGCCGGUUGGUUGUGUAGCUGGUAUAUUUUGGAUGUCAGAUGAAGUGGGGAAAGAAAUGGCAGAAAUGGUCCCCAGGCGUUUAUUUCCUGGGUACCCCUAAUUUCAUGGGCAUGCCUAACAAUGAACUAUGCUCUAACUGGAGCUUAGGGCUUAUUUUCGAUAUUGGAGUGUAGCUUUAUUACAGAUGGACUUUAUCUUUAAACAUUGCAUUUUGAUCAACUUUGUAUAGUCCCGUGUAUUAAAAUACUGUGCACUAAA